UACGUAGGGGGCGAGCGUUGUCCGGAUUUAUUGGGCGUAAAGAGCUCGUAGGCGGUUUGGUAAGUCGGGUGUGAAAUCUCCACGCUCAACGUGGAGGGGCCACUCGAUACUGCCAUGACUCGAGUCCGGUAGAGGAGUGUGGAAUUCCCGGUGUAGCGGUGAAAUGCGUAGAUAUCAGGAGGAACACCUGUGGCGAAAGCGGCGCACUGGACCACAACUGACGCUGAGGCGCGAAAGCUAGGGGAGCAAACAGG
rnacentral:rRNA from 1 species